AAGACACAAAAACCAAAAUAAAACACAUUGUCCGGAAAAGAAAAAAUCGAGGAAAGCACAUGGAUCGUGCACAACGGUUUGAUAAACACAUUCUGGGGGAAAUAAAUAAAAUGGCAAGGCACAAACUGAACAAAACCUGAACCCAAACAAGCUCCAAUCCCGCUCCAUGCACCUUUUCCAUCCCGUGACACGGAACUCGGCAGGAAUAACAGGUGCUUGGCUUCACGAAAACUCAAACUUGGGCUGCUGAGCAGGGGCUGGCGCUGGAAGGCGAGCGGGGGACUCGUAACUCGCCGACAAUUCACAAGCUACAGCACCGAUGCGUUUUGCAAUCCCGUAAGAACCCGUGGACGGCAGCGGUCAACGCUCGUUAACUACCGGAUCAUUAUUUUUUAUUACUAUUAUUAUUAUUGUUGUUGUUAUUAUUAUUAUUACUAUUACUAUUAUUAUUAUUUAUUAUUGUACGUGAGCACGAGCUAAUUCCCCGGGGAAGAGAAGGGGGGCGAAUCUUCGCAUCUGAUGCCCAGCAUCAAGGUUUCGGUAUUUACAUAAUCCGAGUGUUUCCAUAGUCACACCGGAAGCGGCGAUUUAAAAACCAGAUCGCUUUAUGUAACGCCGCGAUGGAUGCGCAGCCCCCGCGCGCUCCCCCCGCCGCCCCGCACGCUCGACAGCGCCGAAAGCGCGGGGGUCCGCGGCCGAGGGGCAGCAACGAGUUCAAGGCGGGGGGAUGUAGGCUAGGCCCGGCGGAGGCCGGUGCCGCUGCCCUGGGGAAGCUGCGGCGGCCGCGGAGACGGGGCUGGAGGCGGCGGGGACCGGCCGCGCACAAGGAAAGAAAUGUUUACUUCGAAGCUACAACACUGAGGCUUGGAAUCUCAAAAUGACACAUGGGUCUGGCUUGGAAAAGGGCGUGAGACGAAAUGCCUUCGCUGAUUCUGCAGGUCCUUUUUCAUACUGAUCCUCUGAAUGAAAUACAAACUCAGCAGUACAUCAGUGUUUAAUGGUGUUGUAUCUUUCAAAGCCCUUUCCAAUAAACAGGAAUAAGAGUGAUGGACAGGAAAGCAGAGGAACAGUGAGUUCAAAGAGUCUAUUUUAAUACAAUUAUUUAGAAAGACACUUGAAGUCCUUGUCAGAUGUAUAUGUCUUGCAGGUGGUUUUUUUUUCAGAGAAAUCUGAUUGUAGGGAACAGGUCAAGACCUAGUGCAGUAGUACUCCCUCAUGAUGUUACAGUUCAACCAUAAUUUUGCAUAGAAACAAGAAGAAAUAGUGAACAAUCCACAUUGAUUAUGUACAUGUUCAUAAGCAUUUGUCAUAGCUUAUGAGCAGCAAUGUUCAUAAUAUUUUAAAAUUUAUGAUUCCACAGGACAGAGACUCAAAUGUUUGUCUGAGAUGUGGAGGAAGUUCUAGUUACUGUUUUUUUAUGGUUAUAGUAUCUCCCAAGAAAAAGUGAUAAAUCACAAUUGGUUUGCUCUGACUUAGCCUCAGGCACCAGUGGGAGACAGAGAAUGUUGAUUGUGGGAUGGUCUUCUGUUCUGAGGUGGGUUUUUUUUUUGGGGGGGUGGUGGUUAAUAAUUAAAGCACACCAAAGAAAGAGUAGUGUUUUAUAAUCACAGACUCAUUUAAGUUGGUAAAAACCCUUAGGAUCAUCAAGUCUAACUAUAAUAUCCAAAUCCACCUCUAAAUUUUAAUGUAUGCUGGACAUAUGGGUCCUACACAGCAGUACUGUCACUCAAAAAAGGGAAAGUUUGGCCAAAAUUCUGUGGGGUCAAUGAUAGAACAGCAGAAGCUUUUAUGCAGAAAAUAAGUCAAACUUAUUCUUCUACUGAGGUGUUUUAAUGCUUCUGUUGAUAAAAAUCUCACCCGAAGUUGUUUAUAGCAAGAGGACUGUGUUUAUUUCCCAAGAAGGGAAUAAGAUCAGAUCUACAUGGUACAGGGAAUGCCUCUGAAGACUUCAAAUACUUAAGAUUAUUUUUCUUGGAUGUUUUUGCUACAUCUUUUUAAAAAGAAUGCCUUGUACAUGAAAAGCAUCAAGUGACCUUGUUGGUAUCGAUUGUCAUUCCCUUUGUUGUGCUUAAGGAAGUGAAGGACCUUGCAAAUCAGAAAGGUGUGAAGAACAAAGCAAAAAUGUCAAAGACAAUCUACCGUGAUUUUCCUAUUUGUAAAUAAGGUGGAAAAUGACAAAACAAUACAAACUAAUGAUGCUUUUGAUUGUUAAUGGAACGUUGCAUGGAUUCGUCUCCUAGGUGACCAUCCAUGUGCCUGUUAAUAGUAAAAGUAUCCUUGUUGAGUAUUAUUUGUAUUGUUAAAAUCCUAUUUUUCUUAACAACAAAUUGAUAGCAACAGGUUUGUUUCUUACUUAUCCCUUAAGUCUCCUGAUGCACAAAUUUGAUGUGGCACAAGUAGUGUAUUGCCUCACCUUUUCAGAAAUCACCUUCAGAACUGUGCCAAGUAUUCACUAGGGAUUUCUGCUCUACGCCUCAAUUUUCCCUCUGUAAAACACAGAAAAAAUGAAUUAUGGUUUAAAGGGUUUAUGUGAACUUGGUAAUAAAAAAAUCUUUCAACACUG